ensembl:lncRNA
CCUAUGUGAAGCCUGAUCAGACCCAAAAGGUAUAUAAAUACCAGCACCUGGGUAUAAAGAAGUUUCUUGAGGAGGCCUGGGAGGGUGGGUGUGAUUAAUUUUCAGGUUCCUAAAAACAUGAAGACAGUUAAAAAAAAUGACAAAUCUGAGAAUAAAUUUUGUUUAUUUUUUUUCAGGAGUAGACCAGAAGAAUACCAUCCUUAGACCUGGGAAGUAGGGACUCCUGCCCUGGGGGCUGUAUUUCAGAGGCCUCCAAUCUGGCCCUUCUCUGGCCACAACUCUUCCCAUGAAGCAAGAAAACCUCAGCAUCAAGGAGAUGCGUCUCCCCUCUUCUAGACCAUGGGCCUGCUUCUCUUCUCAUACCCUGGGCCCACCUUAGGACCUACAUGAGCAGCAUUCUCAGAAUAUCCUCUCAAGAUCUGGUGAAAAGGUCUGGAUCAGCAAUUUUAGUACAUAGAGAAACAUGCUUCGAGAUGAACUUAGAGAAAGUUUCAUUCUUCUUUACCUGUGGAAAAGAAUCUGAGCAUGCAGAAGGUAUCCACACCAUCUAGAUAUGUCAAUCAAGAUAGUGUGGCUUAUGUUAAGAUAACAAACAACUCUGGAACGUAGUGGUCUAAAACAACAAAAGUGUAUGUCUCAUCUGGGCUGCAUGUCCAGUAGAAGUUGCCAGGCAGGGAUGGGGGAAGGGGCGCUAUGUUCAUUGUAGUCACUCAGGCUAACAGAGGCUCCCAGUAAGCAUAUGCUUCUUUGAUCAAAGAGGUUACAAAUGGGAACAUGAUGAAGCGCACGGGUUUUUUUUUUCCCCCAAGAAGUGAUACUCUGCCCACUUUCAAGAGGGUAGGACAGGAGAAGCAGAAAUAUUUUGUAAACAGAGGUAACAACUAGCACAACUCCCUUAUGGUCUCCCAACCAUCACUUAUAGGAGAGGAUAUGUGAACCACCUUAAGUUCUUGCUCCACCUCCUGUGACCCAUUGUUCUGAGCUUGCUUCUCUUUUCUAGCUUCUGUCCUCCGUCCUGGAAGUGAAAUGGGUCCACAAGUACCUAUACAUUUGGUAUGUCUCUAGCAUUCUUUCUAGAUUGAUUCUUUCUGGAUUGGUGUGAUUGAAUUUCUAGAUACUCCCUGUGGAAGCACAGCUAUAUGCAGCCAGCAGGCCAACACCACAUCACUCUUGAACUCACCCCAGAUCACCCAGAAUCCAAGUUUACGAAUAGCAUCUCAGGCUUAUGAUUGUACAACAGGGUGCUUCUGGGAUAGACUGAGAAAGGGAGAGAAAUGAGAUUGGCCUGAAAAAGACAUGAAACAGCAGUCAUAUCAAGGAAAAUACUGGAUGGACUGAACUGAUUUAGAAACUAGAUUUAAGAUUGUUAGACAGGGGGCGCCUGGGUGGCUCAGUCAGUCAAGCAUCCAACUUCAACUCAGGUCAUGAUCUCAUGGUUUGUGCGUUCAAGCUCCAUGUCAGGCUCAAUGCUAAUAGCUCAGAGCCUAGAGCCUGCUUCAGAUUCUGUGUUUCCCUCUCUCUCUGCCCCUACCCCACUCACACUGUGUCUCU